UACAGAGGCCUCGAGCGUUGUUCGGAAUUACUGGGCGUAAAGGGAAUGUAGGUGGUAGCGUAAGUCAGAUGUGAAAGCCCUGGGCUUAACCCGGGAAGUGCAUUUGAUACUGUGCUGCUAGAGUGCGAGAGAGGAAAGCGGAAUUCCAAGUGUAGGGGUGAAAUCCGUAGAUACUGGGAGGAACACCAGUGGCGAAGGCGGCUACCUGGACCGGUUCUGACGCUGAGGCGCGAAAGCGUGGGUAGCAAACAGG
rnacentral:rRNA from 1 species